rnacentral:tRNA from 1 species
CGGGGCGUAGCGCAGUCUGGUAGCGCACUGCGUUCGGGACGCAGGAGUCGGAGGUUCAAAUCCUCUCGCCCCGACCA